rnacentral:rRNA from 1 species
CCUACGGGAGGCAGCAGUGGUGAAUAUUGGACAAUGGGGGGAACCCUGAUCCAGCCAUGCCGCGUGUGUGAAGAAGGCCCUCGGGUUGUAAAGCACUUUCAGUGAGGAAGAACGCCUGGUGGUUAAUACCCAUCAGGAAAGACAUCACUCACAGAAGAAGCACCGGCUAACUCCGUGCCAGCAGCCGCGGUAAUACGGAGGGUGCGAGCGUUACUCGGAAUUACUGGGCGUAAAGCGCGCGUAGGUGGCUUGAUAAGCCGGUUGUGAAAGCCCCGGGCUCAACCUGGGAACGGCAUCCGGAACUGUCAAGCUAGAGUGCAGGAGAGGAAGGUAGAAUUCCCGGUGUAGCGGUGAAAUGCGUAGAGAUCGGGAGGAAUACCAGUGGCGAAGGCGGCCUUCUGGACUGACACUGACACUGAGGUGCGAAAGCGUGGGUAGCAAACAGGAUUAGAUACCCCUGUAGUC